rnacentral:tRNA from 1 species
GGGGUUGUGGCUCAGUGGUAGAGCACUCACCUAGCAUGUGCAAGGCCCUGGGUUCAAUCCUCAGCACCA